UUUAAGGACAGAUUGCUAUGGCUUCACAUUGCCAUCAGCGUGAGUGAAGCCAAUUGAGAGCAAGGGUUCCCAAUAGUUUCACCGAAUUCCAUCUUUGGAGUAAAUGUAGAGUGGAUGUCGCUGUGGCAUGACCGUGCAUCACUCA